rnacentral:lncRNA from 1 species
GCCAGCUUGGAAUGUCACGACCUGCAAAGAAAGGAAAAAAAAACUUUGAUUGACUUCAAUUAAGAAUGGAUGAUGUCACGGCUGUUGGUAUCGUAGGGGGUAAUUUUCAAAAGAGUUUAGNGCAGCGGAUUAAUAACACAGAGAGCGUAAAGCGUAUUAGGUCAAAGUUAAAAUGAUUUUAGCCCUUUUUAGAAAAAAUAAUUUUCUUUCAGAAAAUUAGCCAAACAGUUGAUGUGCGUUAAAUAAAAUGAGUGUAGGGAAUAGAAAAAAUUACACAAGUAUUUUUAUACUGGUUCGAUUCAACAGAAUCUACGUCCAGUCGUUAAUCACUACAAAGAGUGAUUAACAGUUCCACUAAAAAACAGUUUUACAGAUUACAAGAUAAAGAACAAAAUUAUAGAAUGAAAAGAACCACUCUACCAACUUGAAAAUCAUCUAAACCUUCAAUCUCCCCCUUUUUGAUGAUGAUCAAAAAUUCACUUUUAAAAGCAACUCUGGCUUACCUGCAAUACGUAAGAGCUAACAGAAAACAAAGUUAGCAGUACCUGUAUCAAUUAUUAAUUUUGUAUUAUACUUCUNNNN